AUUGAACGCUGGCGGCAUGCCUAACACAUGCAAGUCGAACGAGUGGCGGACGGGUGAGUAAUGUCUGGGAAACUGCCCGAUGGAGGGGGAUAACUACUGGAAACGGUAGCUAAUACCGCAUACCAUCGGAUGUGCCCAGAUGGGAUUAGCUAGUUGGUGGGGGAACGGCUCACCUAGGCGACGAUCCCUAGCUGGUCUGAGAGGAUGACCAGCCACACUGGAACUGGGAGACGGUCCAGAGUCCUACGGGAGGAAGCGGUGGGGAAUGUUGGGCAAUGGGCGAAAGCCUGAUGCAGCCAUGCAGCGUGUAUGAAGAAGGCCUGCGGGUUGUAAAGUACUUUCAGCGGGGAGGCGGUACUCGCAGAAGAAGCACCGGCUAACUCCGUGUCAGCAGCCGCGGUAAUUC
rnacentral:rRNA from 1 species